rnacentral:rRNA from 1 species
AGGGUUCGAUCCUGGCUCAGGACGAACGCUGGCGGCGUGCUUAACACAUGCAAGUCAAGGAGAACAUUUUCUUCGGAAAAUUAUUAAACUGGCGAACGGGUGAGUAACACGUAGGUAACCUGCCUUGAAGAUUGGGAUAACUCCGGGAAACCGGAGCUAAUACCGAAUAAUGCAGCUAAUCCAUAGGGAUAUGUUGUUAAAGCGGGCUUCGGCUCGCACUUCGAGAUGGGCCUGCGACCGAUUAGCUUGUUGGUGAGGUAAUGGCUCACCAAGGCGAUGAUCGGUAGCUGGUCUGAGAGGAUGAUCAGCCACACUGGGAUUGAGAUACGGCCCAGACUCCUACGGGAGGCAGCAGUGGGGAAUUUUGCGCAAUGGACGAAAGUCUGACGCAGCAACGCCGCGUGAUUGAUGAAGCUUUUAGGAGUGUAAAGAUCUGUCGUGAGGGAAGAAAAACCUGGAUGUAAAUAAUGUUCAGGCGUGACGGUACCUCACAAGAAAGCACCGGCUAACUUCGUGCCAGCAGCCGCGGUAAUUC